rnacentral:rRNA from 1 species
UGGGGAAUAUUGGACAAUGGGGGAAACCCUGAUCCAGCAAUGCCGCGUGAGUGAAGAAGGCCUUCGGGUUGUAAAGCUCUUUUGUCAGGGAAGAUAAUGACGGUACCUGACGAAUAAGCUCCGGCUAACUUCGUGCCAGCAGCCGCGGUAAUACGAAGGGAGCUAGCGUUGUUCGGAAUUACUGGGCGUAAAGGGCGCGUAGGCGGCCGCGUAAGUCAGAUGUGAAAGCCCCGGGCUUAACCUGGGAACUGCAUUUGAUACUGCAUGGCUAGAGGAUGAGAGAGGAAAGUGGAAUUGCGAGUGUAGAGGUGAAAUUCGUAGAUAUUCGCAAGAACACCAGUGGCGAAGGCGGCUUUCUGGCUCAUUACUGACGCUAAGGCGCGAAAGCGUGGGGAGCAAA